GUGUUUUGGCAGUACAUAUACUAAAAUUGGAAUGAUACGGAGAAGAUUAGCAUGGCCCCUGCCCA
rnacentral:snRNA from 1 species